GUGAGGGGAAAAACAAUGUCGCUAUUAUUGGCAUGUAAGAUGUUCAUAGAUAAUUCUACCACAUUUUGCUUUCUAUAAAUGCAACAGAAAGUUACAAUUUGUUUUGGUGGCUGCGGCCAUCACGAGACCCAUUUGGCAUCCACAACUGCGUACGUGUGUGCCUCAAUGUCCAUGUGUAUGUGUGUCUAAAAUCAUUCGAAGCAACAACGUUGACGAAGCGCACAGCAAAUAAGGUGCAAAGCAAAAGCAACAAGUCAGAAUGCCACGCGGAAGCUACAGAGCCCAACAGGAGAGAGCGAGAGAGAACUAGAGCCCACAAGAGCCAAGAGCAGAUCGAGCAGACGCGAAACGAACGCGAGCAAAAGAGAGGUAGCGAGACAAAAAGAGUACGCGUCUCUCUUCUUGCGCGUGCGUCGAGUGUCAAGUGUGAAGAAAAGGCCGCAAGCAAACAAGAACAACAACAACAACAAUCAUAGCAAGCAAACGCAAGCAGCUUUCGGCGAAAAACAACAACAACAACUAGAAGCAUUGCGCUUACGGCAUUUGUUAUGAAAUCAUUACAAAACAAACGUAGCAAAAUUAAUAAAAAUACAUUAAACACAAAACUAUGGCAAUAAACUUUAGUCAAUCAGCAACAACUAAAACAAAAAAAAAAGAACUUCACCUUAAUAUUUCCAACAAACACACUUUCGUAAUU